rnacentral:tRNA from 1 species
GAGGGUAUGGCUCAGUGGUAGAGUGUGUGCCUAGCAUGCAUGAGGUCCUGGGUGCAAUCUCCAGUCCCUCCA